CAGUUUAUGUGAAUCAAUUUGGAUUGUUUCUCGACGAUGAUCAUGUCUUAAGGUGCAAGGGUAGAUUAAACAAUGCGUCAUUGAACCUGGGGAGCAAAAAUCCAAUUUUACUUCCAAACAAAUCAAAGUUUGUCGAGUUAUUAAUACGCGAAGUUCACGAUAAGAUUAAACACAGCGGACUACGAGACACCUUGACGACUAUACUCGACGACUCCGCGGUGAAGACGGGGUUCCUCGUGCUGCUGUUGUCAGAGUUUUCGUGAGAAUUCAAAUAAUUCGCAGUUAUUAAGACGCUCAAUCCAGCACUUGAUCCCUAUUGAAGUGAGACACGAAAGUGAGACCGACGGAUUAAAGAACGCAGAUCAAGAAAGUGAAGAGACGGCGAACGCACAAGUAUUAUUAUUAUUAUUAUUAUUAUUACAACAUCUUUAUACACGGUAACUAAUCAACCAUAUUACCUAUCAGUAUUUACAAAAAAUAUAAAGGUUGUUUUUCAUUAGGCCGUGUUAUUAAAUGCAAAUGAAAACUCGAAAUACUAUUAUAUAAACUAUUAUAAAAAUAUUAAAAGAUACUAAGAAAUGUUUGGGUCGAAGCGAUACGUUAAAUAUAUAUAUUACAAAUGAAUUAAGUAGAUUUAAAAUUUUUACUAUUAUAGUUCCAGUCUUUAUUACGUCCAACUGAGCGACCGCAACGGAAGGCAGCCAUAACCGGACAAUUGAAACGGUUGAAACAGAUGGGCAAGUUGUAGAACAGUACGAACAGUUAAAUUACAGUCUAUUGACAUUUUGAUAUUUAAAUACGUUCAGACAAUUUAUAGUAUUUCGAAGACUUUGUUGACUCGUUAUGAACGUGUCAACCCUGGGGAGUGUAACAUACGUCAUAGCGGAACAUACGUCAUAGCGGAAGUUGAAUGGACAGAGCACGUUGUUGUUGUCUUGAUAGUGUACAAAAUGUAG